CACCACCAUAAGAUAGUUACUACUUCCACUUCUCUUCUAGAUGAGGAUAUUGAGAGGUCGGAGACGAGGGCCCCUGGCCAGGCUGGGACUGAGACCUGCACCCCGCCUGCCCACUCGUGGAGACCAGAUGACCGACCCCAGGGCCCUGGGCCAUUCCAGACAGAGGGCUACAGGCUGGUCAGCAGGCGGGGUGGGAACUGCUCCACCAGAGACCCUGGCUCAGCCUCUGUCGGGGCCCACCAGAGCCUCUGGGGAGUCUGACCAGCUAGCAGGCCUCCAGGUGGCCAUGCAGAAGGAGGGCCAGUCAGAGCCACCAGGAGGGAGGCAGAAGCGAGGGACAGUGCAGGGGGGGAGGGCAGGAGAGAACUCCUCCACUGGCCACGUCCCUCUGCCGGGCAUGCAGCCUCUCUCCAGCGCAGGAGCACCACACCCCUUCCGCUUUCCCUGCUCCUGCUGUGAGUAACAGGCAUUGUCCAGUCUGUGGUCCUCCUCUGGGCAUCGCCUGGGGUCGGGGUCCAGCCCACAGCUGUGCUGUGUGGAUGGGAUGCACUGCUGUGUGGAGUCAGUCACCUUUGAAGCAGCCCUGAGUCCGAGAAUUGGGAGACUUUGGAAGCCCUGAAUUUGUGUACCAUCUCGAUUCCCAAGGCCAGUUGGGCUCCCAGGUCCUACGCCUCGGGGACUACGAGGCCCUUGCAUGUUAAGAAUCUCCAUGUGGCUCCUUUCUCUCUUCCGUUCCAGCCAGAACCCAGGGGAGGAAGUGUGGGCAACGUGCCUCAUUCCAGUAGGAGCCCUGCUUCCUGCUGACAGGACCCUGCUCUGCUCAGAUCCCACCGUCCUCGGGGUUUCCUCCUCAGCCACAGGGCUGGACCUGAUCAGCCGGGGCAGGGGGCUCCCAGCACUGGCAGGUCAGGUUGGACACCCCAGAGGCC
rnacentral:lncRNA from 1 species